GGGCAGCUGAUCUGACUUCCGCGUGCAGGACGAACGCUUCGGUUUGUAAACUGCUUUUGUACGGAACGAAAAAGCUCGGUUAAUACCCGGAGUCCAUGACGGUACCGUAAGAAUAAGCACCGGCUAACUACGUGCCAGCAGCCAGCGGUAAUAUAGUAGGGUGCAAGCGUUAAUCGGAAUUACUGGGCGUAAAGCGUGCGCAGGCGGUUAUAUAAGACAGAUGUGAAAUCCCCGGGCUCAACCUGGGAACUGCAUUUGUGACUGUAUAGCUGGAGUGCGGCAGAGGGGGAUGGAAUUCCGCGUGUAGCAGUGAAAUGCGUAGAUAUGCGGAGGAACACCGAUGGCGAAGGCAAUCCCCUGGGCCUGCACUGACGCUCAUGCACGAAAGCGUGGGGAGCAAACAGGAUUAGAUACCCUGGUAGUCCAAGCCCUAAACGAUGUCAACUGGUUCGAAGGGUCUUCACUGACUCAAGUAACGAAGCUAACGCGUGAAGUUGACCGCCUGGGGAGUA
rnacentral:rRNA from 1 species